GACGAACGCUGGCGGCGUGCCUAAUACAUGCAAGUCGAACGCAUUUUCUUUCAACGUAGCUUGCUACACCGAAAGAAAGUGAGUGGCGAACGGGUGAGUAACACGUGGGUAACGUGCCCAUCAGCGGGGGAUAACACUUGGAAACAGGUGCUAAUACCGCAUAAUUCCAUUUACCGCAUGGUAGAUGGAUGUAAGGCGCUUUUGCGUCACUGACGGAUGGACCUGCGGUGCAUUAGCGAGUUGGUGGGGUACCGGCCUACGAUGGCUACGAGGCGUAGCCGACCUGAGAGGGGGAGCGGCCAAAAGGGAACUGAGAAACGGUACAGACUCCUAAGGGAGGAAGCAGUAGGGAAUGUGAAGCAAGGGGCGAAAGCUUGACGGAGCAACGCAGAGUGAGUGAUGAAGGUCUUGGGAUAGUAAAACCCGGUUAUGAGGGAAGAACAAAUGUGUAAGUAAAUAUGCAUGUCUGGACGGGACCUAAUCAGAAAGCCACGGCUAACUACGUG
rnacentral:rRNA from 1 species